AAAACGUUAAAAAAAUGUGACCAUGUCCCCAGACCUAGACACUUAAUAUGAGCCAUCAUCAGAGGAUUUAAUAUCAGUAGAAACUUUGUAGAAUGGAAAUGGUUUGAAGAAAAUAAUAACAUUGCUUUUUAAGCUGAACAGAGCUGUAUUUGCUUAAACAUUUUACGAAGGGCAUUGAGAGAGGUGUAUGUGUAUUUAAAAGAUUAAUUUGAGCUUUAUGCUUAGUUUUUGUGUAUUUGUUAUAUUGUAAAAAAUUAUAAUUUCCUGUAGUACACUAUCAUUCACGUUUUUUGACGUAUGUGUUAGAUUUGUUUCUCUCUUGGUUAUUAUAUAUGAAAUUAAAUGUAGACGUGUUUGUAGCAUUUAAAAACAUUUGCUGAAAUUCACCCUGGUUUUUGUCAGGGUUACAGAUAUUUUGUUCCCAGAACUGUCACGGAUUGGCUGGUUCUCAUAAUGAUUGUGUUCCCCAUUGCACUGUCACCCUCUACAAAAGGGGACAUAGAAAGGCAAGCAUCAGUGCUGGGAAACUGGCAAGGAGGCCACUGUCAGGCCUGGCGGGUACAGUUGUGUGGAACUGAAGCAAAGUCUGAGAAGCAUCCUCUCAUCUCAUUUCUGUUCUACAUUUGAUGUCAUCAAGUGCUGCCCACUGGGCAGGCAGGUGGGUGCAGUGAAUAGUACUAAGACCUGAUGCAAUCAGGUAGUAGUACAGCAGUGGACUUUUUUCCAGCAGCUUAAGAAAACCUUCAGUGAAUUAACCUAAAAUUCUUAUUUGUUGCUAAUUAACUUUUGAGAAAUUUGCUCAUCCUGUCCUUCUAAGGCUCAUUGAUGGCUCUUUCCUUGUGUUCGUCUCUUGUCUUUUAAGGACCACCAUAGUUUUGUUUGUUUGAAUGUGACUGUAAGAAAUCUAUAAAAAAAAAGUAUGUUUCAGAAAAUCCUCUGGAUCUUAAUAUUGCUGCAAUGGUUAGAAUGUGAAUGCUUGCUGUGAAAAUAAAGCAGUGUGGCUGCUAUUCUUUUGUUUUAGAGUCAAUUUAGAAUUUUUAUCUGGUCUAAUAGGAGCCAUUUCCUAUGUCUCACAACUCUUUCCCACCCCUUCCAGGCUGAAUUCUUUCCACACAUGUAAUUCGUAACUUGUUGCCAGAUACUCUGCAUGGGGUGAUGGGAUUCUCUAAACAAAUCCGCCUGUCCCCACACCCCCAGGACAUACACCCUUUUGACAUUUAAAAGUGUUCAUUCUGAACUAUAAGACAUCUGAGUCUUGUUUUUGUGUGCAGCCUUUAUUAUCAUAAAACUCAGAUCCAUUGGUUUUCUUUUUUCCAUUUCUGUUUAACACUAAGACUUGGUGAUUGACAAGGGGGGAAGUAUUGAUAUAGAUGGGGAGUAUAAUAUGGCUGAGACAGGGAAACACCUAAAGCAUGAACACAUUGUUUACAAAGAGCCACUUAGAGGAGUUUUUAGAUUAUGAAUAUUAAAGGUAGUCAGCUUUUGUCAGUCAUUCACUGAUUGAGACUCUGGACAAUCAGGUGCAUAUUCUUCUGAAAUUAGAUAUGUUUUACAAAUAUGCACAAAAAAUGGGUUCAGAUUUUUGUAACUAUAUUUAAGAAGAAAGGUGUGCUUAGAUGUGACAAACUUUCAUUUUUUUAAAGUACAGAUCAUGAAGAAAUAAAAUGUAGAGGAAGCCUUGCUGAUAUUUAUAAAAAUGUGUAACUUUAAAACUUCUUAGUCUAUUGAGGCUUAAAGUGUAGAAUGUAUAAUGAAUUGUGUGGAUUUUCUAAUGUAUCUGGUAGUAGCAGUGUUUGUUUCAAGGUAUUCAGAAAAUCAGAGUGUGGAUAAUUCAUUGUAGCCAGUUAAAUUUAUAAAUUUCAUCUUCCCCAGUUCUGGCAAGUUGCCUUUCAAAUAGAAGGAUUAAUUUACACCAACCAGGACGCCUUCCUUGUAUGACCAUAUUAGAUGAAAUUAGACUCCACCCCUUGUUUUCUGUUGAUCUGCCAGGACCUUUGUAAUUCAAGUGCUUUUUACAGUAGUAGCAAAUGUUACAUAAGACCAAACAUGGAGCAUAUUUCAACUUGGUGGGCAGACCCAAAUCAUGAUGGAAGCCUUCAGUAGCAAGUGUGCAAUUAAGCACAGCCAAAUUAUGUGAAUGGAAGGUAAAAAGAAGCCUCUCCUGAGCAGCCCUUCCUCCGCACCAGGGCUGAAAGCUCCACUGGAAAGAAGACAUAGCUCAUCCAGCAAGCCUUCUUUGGCUGUUCCUCCUACAUCAGUAUUCUCCUUCUUCCCUUCUCUGUCCAAAAGCAAAGGCAGCAGUGCUGGUGGAAGCAGCCAUUGUGCCAGCAGAAGUGUUCUCAGCACAUCUUCAUUAAGUUCCAAGCUGUUGAAAUCGCCCAAAGAGAAACCACAGCUCAGGGGGAACACCAGGCCAAUGCAUCCCAUUCAGCAGAGUAGAGUCCCCCAUGCUAGAAUCAUGACGCCCUCUGUUAAAGUGGAGAAAAUUCAUCCAAAGAUGGAUGGCACACUACUGAAAUCUGCGAUAGGGCCAACCUGUCCUGCUACUGUGAGUUCCUCAGUCAAGCCUGGCCUUAACUGCCCCUCAAUACCAAAGCCAACCUUGCCUUCACCUGGACAAAUUCUGAAUGGCAAAGGGCUUCCUACACCGCCCACUCUGGAAAAGAAGUCUGAAGAUAAUUCUAAUAACAGGAAAUUUUUAAAUAAGAGAUUAUCAGAAAGAGAGUUUGAUCCUGACAUACACUGUGGGGUUAUCGAUCUCGACACCAAGAAGCCCUGCACCCGAUCUUUGACGUGCAAGACACAUUCCUUAACCCAGCGGAGGGCUGUCCAGGGUAGAAGAAAACGAUUUGAUGUGUUACUUGCCGAGCACAAAAACAAAACCAGGGAAAAGGAAUCGAUUCGCCAUCCGGACUCUCAGCAACCAAUGCAGCCUCUCAGGGACCCGCAUCCCGCCCCUCCUAGAACUUCACAGGAGCCACACCCAAACUCUCAAGGAGUGAUUCCUUCCGAAUCAAAGCCUUUUGUAGCUAGUAAACCUAAACCUCACACCCCUAGUCUUCCAAGGCCUCCAGGCUGCCCUGCUCAGCAAGGUGGGAGUGCCCCCAUUGACCCUCCUCCAGUCCAUGAAUCUCCACACCCUCCCCUGCCUGCCACUGAGCCAGCUUCUCGGUUAUCCAGUGAGGAGGGAGAAGGCGAUGACAAAGAAGAGUCUGUUGAAAAACUGGACUGUCAUUAUUCAGGUCAUCAUCCUCAGCCAGCAUCUUUUUGCACAUUUGGGAGCCGGCUGAUUGGAAGAGGCUAUUAUGUGUUUGACUCCAGGUGGAACAGGCUUCGCUGUGCCCUCAACCUCAUGGUGGAGAAGCAUCUGAACGCACAGCUGUGGAAGAAAAUCCCACCAGUGCCCAGUAUCACAUCCCCUGUCUCUACACGUGUUCCUCACCGGACAAACUCAGUGCCGACGUCACAAUGUGGGGUCAGCUGCCUGGCAGCAGCCACUGUGUCUACAUCCCCAGUCCUGCUCUCAUCCACCUGCAUCUCCCCAAACAACAAAUCGGUACCAGCUCAUGGAACCACCCUAAAUGCACAGCCUGCCACAUCUGGAGCGAUGGAUCCCGUGUGCAGUAUGCAAUCCAGACAAGUGUGCUCCUCAUCCUCGUCCCCUUCCAUGCCCUCUGGCCUUUCCUCAGUCCCCUCCUCCCCUAUGUCCAGGAAACCUCAGAAGUUGAAAUCCAGCAAGUCUUUAAGGCCCAAGGAGUCUUCUGGUAAUAGCACUAACUGUCACAACACCUGUAGCAGUACCAGCGGCACCUCAGGAAAGAAACGCAAAACCAGUUCUCCACUGUUAGUUCACUCUUCUUCCUCCUCGUCCUCCUCCUCCUCUUCUUCUCAUUCCAUGGAGUCUUUUAGGAAAAACUGUGUGGCUCACUCUGGGCCUCCCUACCCUUCCACGCUAACAUCUUCCCAUGGUAUGGGCCUCAACUGUGUGGCAAAUAAAGCGAACUCAGUGAGUGUCCGGCACGAGCAGUCAGGGAGGGCUGCCCCUGGAGGGAGCCCUGCUGAGUCCAUCAAGAGGAUGAGUGUGAUGGUGAACAGCGGCGACUCGACACUUUCCCUUGGCCCAUUCAUCCACCAGUCCAGCGAACUGCCCAUCAACUCCCAUGCCAGUUACUCACACUCACACACUCCUCUAGACAAACUCAUAGGAAAGAAAAGAAAGUGCUCACCCGGCUCAAGUGGCAUCAGCAACAACAGCAGCAAACCCACAAAAGUUGCCAAAUUGCCAGCCAUGAACAAUGUCCACGUGAAACAUAUGGGCACCAGCCCAGGGGCACAAGGACUGACGAAUAGUUCCUUCCUUCAUCAGGUAGGAAAUGCACUGCAAGCCUUUUAUGGGUUGCUACCUCCUCUCCCUUGACAUCUUUUGCCAGCUUGGAUGUCUGUGUGGUUGUGUUGGUUGGUUUGCCUAUAAACAGAUGUCCAGCUUUCUGGUAUCUUAAGGAAGAGUUCAUGGCCAUCCGAAGAUAAAAUAGGCUUCUCUUUGCCAAAAUUUCUUAUGACCUGGAGCAUGUCCCUGGGUCAGGAAGCCACAACAGUGCAUUUUAGCAGAUAGGGCUGUGGAAACCAUCCCACGUGACAGCAGAAUGCCUUCCCACAACCAGUGAGCGUAGUCCUGCGGGGACAACAUUCAUCUGCGAUGUUGUUCAGGGAGGAUGCACUUUCCUGGAGAGCAAGAAGAAAGCUGGGCUAAAAUUCAACUGAUCUACAAAGGGAUGAUGUAAAUUUUAAAAAGAAAGUGCUUUUAAUAUUUUUCCAGUGGAGAAUUUUGUAUUUUCUGGUUAACUCUCUUUGUAUGUUUUCACCUCCCUGUUUUCCAAAGAGGCAGGAAAAACAGCAUUAGUAUGGGCAUAGCAGAAGACUAAAACCUCCCAAGUUAACAGAUUAAAAAGAAAUCUGUGGUGCAUUUGUACAGAAGUAGCUAAGUGGGUGUCAGAUUCUUAAUUAACCAUGUCUUUCUCACUAAUGUUGUGUCUGUCUUUCCCCCACUCCUCCAUCUGUUACUGUUUUCUCCUGACCUCUCCUUUAGCUGGUUCUUUCAGCUCCCUUUGCUCUAACUUCCAGCUCAUCUCUCAUCUUGUUAUUUCAUUCAUCCGGGUAUCUCCUUACCUUGCUUAUGAACAGGAAUUUCAGCAGCAUCACCCCCCCCCCCCCCCCGCCCAGAUUUAAAAUCCAAAGACACGUCCCUGACAACCGAAUAUAGCACGGGGAGGAAUAAUCUGGACACUUUCGACGACAAGUUACACCUCCACUCAGCACUCUGGACUCCAAGAUGCCUUUGAGUCUGUUUUCCCAACCUCCUGUGGGCCUCAAGGAUAGAGAUCUGCCGGGCUGUUGUUUUAACCAGGAUUUCCCUGAAGAUUGUCUGUAGCAGUGAGUAUUCGUAAAGGACACUGGAUCAAGUUCAGCCACCGAGUUGCUUCUAUCAGUGUUAAAGUGGUCUGGACUGCUUGUUACCAAUCUGUGAGACAUUUUUGUUUUGUUUUUUAAAUUGCAGUGUAUCACGGAGCCACUCUUCAAGUAGAUUGGCUGGGUCGAAAGAGUGCUCUGGCAAGAACAUUACUAUAGAAUUUUCUCCCUUCCUCCUCUUUUCACCCCAGUUCUUUUUACACUGUCUUCUGCAGGUCACUGUCUGGAGUUAAGGUGUCACCCUGCUAGAUAGCUGACCUAGUUGAAGCUCCCUAAACUAGGGAGUGAAUGCAGUGAGACAUGCUGUGAAGCCUAGGAGAUAGGGCUGGGUGGUCUGUUCAUGGCCAGAGUUCCCUCUCCCCGAGCAUAGAAACUGCUUUGGGUGUGAGUUUUCACAUCUCUAUGGACUAGCCCAUUGACCUUGUUCAGUUCUAGCAGGUAGGUACCUUAACUGGAGACACCUUCCAAAGGGGAGACAGGGUUCUUACCCUGAGCAGCCCUCUAGAGAAGGGAAUCUGUCAUUAGGUUUUUAUAGCAAUGUUUCAGGAAUGGAAUAUGUGUGUUAGUGCAAGACACCAUGACAGAAUAGCCUGUAUUUUUCCCAGCAUUUUGCAAGUCAUUUGGGAUAAGAAGCUGUCAAAAGUUUUAAACUUACAGACCGGUUUUAAAGCUACUGAUGCCCAGAGAGCAAAUAUACACCAUUUUAGAAGCUUACUUUUCAUGGUACAAAAGCGAUUCUGUGUGAUUUACAAAAAAGAAGAAAAAAACUAGUUUUGAUAAUGGAAAGCCAAAAUUUUGAGGAGUGGUGGAUAAAAAUCGCUACAUGGGGAAAGAUCUGUCCAAGAUUUACAAAGAGGUGGAAUUUUCCUAUCCUUUUAAGUCUUCAUGUUAAAGAGUACGGCAGAUUGGGUUGGUUGUCUUGCCCAAUCCCGUUUUCAAAAAAUUACUUUUGUAAAGUGAAAUUAUCAGGAUGCGGCAGAAACUGUCAUUCACAAAGUCAUUAAUAUACUUAAAUAUUUCCAAGGCACUCUCUGUACUAUAUCCUCCAGCUCCCCUCUGAAUACUGUCCUGGACUAAGGGUAAAUUUCUGCUUUGAGCAUUCUUUCAUGUUAUGUGUGUGCACUCCCGCUCCUGCCAUUACAGAUGUUUAUUUGGUUGCCACUGGGGUAGGGAGCAGGCACCCGAGAAGGGAGGGUAGUGAAUUUGUACAAGUACCCAUGAAGAGAUGAUGGAUGCACAUGUAGUAUUUCCCUGACAUACCCUCUUUUCUUAGGAUUCAUGCCAGCCAUCUUUCUAAGAGAGUUUUGGAGACCCUCCAGGAUAUUUUUUUCUAGUACUCCACCCCAAAAGAAGGAGCUUUAUAUGUUAAAACAUCAUUGCUUUAGAAAGUUUGAGGGAUAAGUUGGAGCUUUUUAACAGGUCAUUCAACUGAUCACAGCUUCUCAAACAAGAACCAGGCACAUAUGCUUAGAAGAACACACAGUUGCUGAACACAGGAUAAAUUUCCCAGGGCUCUGGUGACCACCCUGGGCAGGACCUAGGCAGGGCCAGUCAGUGCAUCCUUUCUUCCCUGCAAUUCUUGGGUUACUUCAGUUUCAGGGAAUUUCAAGUCAACAACAGGUGGAAUGAAUGAAUACUUUGUUAUCAGCCUAAUAAUGUGAAUUGCUACAGAAUUAAUCAUAUGUAAGAAAACAAAAACUUUAUGCAGAUACUUUAGCUAUAAAUUGAUGUAAAAUACUGAUUUUUUUAAAAAGAAGAGAACAGUAUCUUGUGCACUUAUUAUGCAAUCAAUCAGUAAAUGUUUUUAAAAUGAUACUGUAGGAGUGCUCAGUAAGGAGAGAAGCCUAGGUGGGCUGGUUUGGUGUAGUUUGGAGAAAUCAGUCUGGUUGUUCCAUCCCAAUGGAUGAAGAGGAUGAGGUAAGAGGGAAUCAGAACGUAUUCAGUUGAUUCCUUGGUGACAAGUGCAAUGGGGUAUGGGUAGAAUUUAUUUUCAGAGCUAAGGGGAAUUGAUGGUUAUAAAUGAAGUUGCUUUUAGCGAUGGAAUUUAUAGACAGAUCAUGUUGUUCCGAAAGAUGUGAAUAGGAUCCACAAUAGCAAGUUGGUUUAGAAUAAUGUAGCUGUAUCUAGAUUAGCAGUGUUGAUUAUUUAAUUUCGUAGACUGAGGUUUUAAUUGGAUUUUAUCAUGUCUCCCGGUAGUACAAAAAGCAUCGGGAUUAGGAAAUUAGCCAUUUUGGAUUCUGCCUGCCACAAACAGACAUAUUCUAAACAGUGCUAUUAAAUUUUAGACUGUUUAAAUAUUUUAUUUUCUCCUACAACUACUUUUUAUUAUGAUGGACAAUUAAGACCAUUUAAAACAUGGGAAUACAAGUAUUUUUUUUAAUUAAAUUAACUUGCAAAAACCAAAUUUGCAGUGGUUGGGUUGUUUCUAGACAGACUUUGGUAUCAAUUUAAAACCAAGAUAAUUUUUAUAUUCUUUCCAAUAGAAUUUCAUGACAACUCCUGCAGUUUUCUUAACCUUAAAAAUAAAGUGCUGCAAUGAUGAACAAAGAAUUAUAGAAAACCUACUUUUGUACCUUUAUUUUGGAAUUUCUUGUUCUAUUAUAAAUAUGGAAGUAUCCCUAUCUCAGAAGACAUAUUUUGUUAAAAAUGAAUUGUACAUAUUUAAAUAUGUAUUUUUGCACAGGUCUUUUUUUCUGAUAUCCUGUUUUGGUACAAUUGAGAUCAUCUAGUAUUUAUUUAUUAAUUAAUAAAAGUAAAUACCUUUUUAUAAUUUGAAGUGGUUCACUGCCAAGCCAAUAGUUCUAGAACCUGCCUCCUUUACAGUUUAAGGGAUGCCUCUGUUCUGUGAAAGUCUUUUUUGUCCCUUUAGCGUCUCGGGAGUGGAUUCAUGCAGAUGAAGUGGGCAUUGCUUCUCCCUAGUUGCCUGGUUUCUUGAUAGACAGCAUGUAACUAAAUAACACACUGCUUUUCUUUUGUUUCAUGUGAGAGAGUGUAUGUGUGUGCGCCUGUGUGUUUGUAUGUGUACCCUCUGAGCACAUGUGUGUUGGUAUGUGAUGUGGUUUAAAACUAAUGGAAAAAAACUGAAAGUGCCUGAACCUAAUUUUAAGCAUAGACAGAUUCUCUUUAAAAAGACUUGAAUGUUCAGUUGAACUUUUGGAGUUUGUUUUUUCCACCUAAAUACUGUUUCUAAAAAUUUAGGGAAGGAGUUGAAAACCACCAAUGCUAAUAAUUUUAUAAGGUGUUUUAAAAUAAGGCUUUUUGGUUCAUAGUAAUUCAGAUGGUGGUGGAUUGCCCAGUGGCACCAAGGGUUACAAAUCUUUUUGUCAUCCAGCAGCUUACAUGAUGUUUUCCGUUUUGUUAUCCUCUCAUAAAAUAUUCAGUUUAAAAUCAAAUAUUUAAAGUUUUUGUAUUCCAAAAAUAUAAUACAAAGUACCUCUGAGAACAUUGAAAAAAAUGUAUAAUUUGAAAAUUAAUUUAUAAAGGCAGCUGUCUUCCUGCAAGAGUUCUGUUGCCAAGGAAUUUCUUAAUAUCUCUCAUUCUGUUCUGGGGAAAAUGUUGAACUUUGGAAAAUGAUUAUUAAAAAUUUCAUUGUUUAGAAGAAAAUAAUGAUUUUUACAUGUUGUGUAAAACAUUUUACAUUUUCAGAUGAUUUAAAUGAGCACUACAUACUGUCAGUGUGAAUGUAGGGGCUUGAAAGCAUUUUGCUGUUUUUUUGUUUUGUUCGUUUUUUGAGCUUGGUUAUAAAAGCAAUCUCCUGUGUUAAAGUGUGUGAAUAGUUUGAUAAUUUGUACACAUAAUCAAGAGCAUCUCAGCUGGACUUUGUGUUGGCUGCUGUAUAGAACAUGAACAAAUGUCAAGGGAUAGAAAAUUACUUUGGAUAUUUAAAAGAGAAGAAAUAUAUAGUCUAUUUGUUUUGUAACAAGUUUCUGUAAAUAAAAUAAUUUAUACUAUUUA